AGCAGCCGCCGCGGUAAUACGUAGGUGGCAAGCGUUGUCCGGAAUUAUUGGGCGUAAAGGGCUCGCAGGCGGUUUCUUGAGUCUGAUGUGAAAGCCCCCGGCUCAACCGGGGAGGGUCAUUGGAAACUGGGAAACUUGAGUGCAGAAGAGGAGAGUGGAAUUCCACGUGUAGCGGUGAAAUGCGUAGAGAUGUGGAGGAACACCAGUGGCGAAGGCGACUCUCUGGUCUGUAACUGACGCUGGGGAGCGAAAGCGUGGGGAGCGAACAGGAUUAGAUACCCGCGUAGUGCCUGUCUCUUAUAC
rnacentral:rRNA from 1 species